rnacentral:rRNA from 1 species
AGAGUUUGAUCAUGGCUCAGAACGUACGCUGGCGGCACGCCUAACACAUGCAAGUCGAACGCAGUAGCAAUACUGAGUGGCAAACGGGUGAGUAUAAUGUGGGAAUCUGCCUUUUGGUUUGGAAUAACACGGGGAAACUUGUGCUAAUACUGAAUAAGCCCUUACGGGGAAAGUUUUAACGCCGAAAGAUGAGCCCGCACUUGAUUAGCUAGUUGGUAAGGUAAAAGCUUACCAAGGCAACGAUCAAUAGCUGUUCUUAGAGGAAGACCAGCCACAUUGGGACUGAGACACGGCCCAGACUCCUACGGGAGGCAGCAGUGGGGAAUCUUGCACAAUGGGGGAAACCCUGAUGCAGCGAUGCCGCGUGAGUGAAGAAGGCCCUUGGGUUGUAAAACUCUUUCGUCGGGGAAGAAAAUGACUGUACCCGAAUAAGAAGGUCCGGCUAACUUCGUGCCAGCAGCCGCGGUAAUACGAAGGGACCUAGCGUAGUUCGGAAUUACUGGGCUUAAAGAGCUCGUAGGUGGUUAAAAAAGUUGAUGGUGAAAUCCCAAGGCUCAACCUUGGAACUGCCAUCAAAACUUUUUAGCUAGAGUGUGAUAGAGGUAAGUGGAAUUUCUAGUGUAGAGGUGAAAUUCGUAGAUAUUAGAAAGAACACCAAAUGCGAAGGCAACUUACUGGGUCACUACUGACACUGAGGAGCGAAAGCAUGGGUAGCGAAGAGGAUUAGAUACCCUCGUAGUCCAUGCCGUAAACGAUGUGUGCUAGACGUUGGAAAUAUAUUUUUCAGUGUCGCAGCGAAAGCAUUAAGCACACCGCCUGGGAGUACGACCGCAAGGUUUAAAACUCAAUGAUUUGACGGGGACCCGCACAUAGCAGUGGA